rnacentral:rRNA from 1 species
AUACGGAGGGUGCAAGCGUUACUCGGAAUCACUGGGCGUAAAGCGCGCGCAGGCGGCUAUUUAAGUUGGAUGUGAAAGCCUCCGGCUCAACCGUAGAACUGCAUCCAAAACUAUUUAGCUAGAGUGUGGGAGAGGAAGAUGGAAUUAGUUGUGUAGGGGUAAAAUCCGUAGAGAUAACUAGGAAUACCAAAAGCGAAGGCAAUCUUCUGGAACACUACUGACGCUGAGGCGCGAAAGCGUGGGGAGCAAACAGGAUUAGAAACCCUAGUAGUCC